rnacentral:piRNA from 1 species
UGAUAAUGGCCUUCAUCAAGCUCUUCCUUUC